GAUGAACGCUAGCGGCAGGCUUAAUACAUGCAAGUCGAGGGGCAGCAUGGUGUAGCAAUACACUGAUGGCGACCGGCAAACGGGUGCGGAACACGUACAGAACCUUCCUUCGAGCGGGGAAUAGCCCAGAGAAAUUUGGAUUAAUACCCCAUAGUAUAGCGGAGAGGCAUCUAUCUGUUAUUAAAGAUUUAUCACUUGAAGAUGGCUGUGCGGCUGAUUAGGUAGUUGGCGGGGUAACGGCCCACCAAGCCUGCGAUCAGUAACUGGUGUGAGAGCACGACCAGUCACACGGGCACUGGGACACGGGCCCGACUCCCACGGGAGGCAGCAGUAAGGAAUAUUGGUCAAUGGACGAAAGUCUGAACCAGCCAUGCCGCGUGGAGGAUGAAGGUCCUCUGGAUUGUAAACUUCUUUUAUAUGGGACGAAAAAAGGGUUUUCUAACUCGUCUGACGGUACCAUAUGAAUAAGCACCGGCUAACUCCGUGCCAGCCGCCGCAGUAAUAC
rnacentral:rRNA from 1 species